CCGAACUAUCCCUAAUCUGGUGUGGAAAUUUCUGGCUUUGUGUUUUAUUUGUGCGUCGAUAUUUUCGUUUAUCCACAUCAUUUGCAAACAUCAACGCGUUUAAUCGUCUAUUGACUACACUCUGUGUCUGUUGCCUGUUGGUCUGCCGCGCUCGAUACCUAUACCUACUUCAGAUCAAUACAGCGACUUUGUUUUUAAUUUCUUGGUUGCCGUAUGCGGGCAUACGUGUGCUGUAAGCGUACGGCGCAUUCUAACAAAGAUUGGAACAAACAAACUUUGGCGUAAAGCUUGAAAGGAAGGAAAGCCAAGCGACCGUUUAGGGAUCUCUCGAUUUCCACUCUUGUGA
rnacentral:lncRNA from 1 species